AAUAUGAGUCCUGGGGAUCUGGAUUUGAUCCUCACGCCAGUGUCAGUGGGGAGUUUGGUAUGUUUUCCUUGUAUCAGUAGUGUGUGUAGGUGUGUGGGUGUGUGUGUGUACUGGGAGAGCACACAGGUGGAGGACUGGUUUCUCACUCUUUAGGUAUCGACACUGUGUAGAAAGAUCAUCUCACCUUCUCUGAGCUCCACCUGCCAUCUAGUGGAGCAGAACUGAAGCUGCUCUUCAAUCCUGAAGGGAUCAUUCCAAAACAUGCAGAAGGUGGAUUGGCAUCUUUAAUACGAGUGGCGCUGUGGUGCAGCUGGCAGACUGGCUGGCGUACAGCAACACAGAUCAUGAAGAACUGUUCUCCUUUUUUCCAGGGACCUUUCCAAAACAUGCAGGAGGUGGAUUGGCUGUUCUAAAUAGUCACUAGGAAGGACAGAGUCAGUAAAAGAGUCAAUAAACCUGUUCUGGAUUAAUUCUUACCUAAAGAUUAGGGCUGCUGGUUGCCAAUCGGACCCACCGUGACCCUGACCAGGAUAAAAAAAUUGAAUUAAUAAAUAAUGACACAGUUAAGAGAAUUGAACGUGGUUUAUUUCAGAGCUUCUGCUCGUCCCCCUCCGCUGGUAUGACCGGUUGAACCGAAAUUAAAAACACACCAAGUGGUACAGCACUGAAACGUCCAUAAAUUUCGAGUUCACCGGGUCCAACAGUAGCUGGCACGUUAAAAAGAACGACGGGACGAGCCGGAGACGAACGAGAACCGACUGGAGGCGACGGACGGACUGGCAGGUCGACGCUGGGCAGGAUCAGCUGAGCAAAACAACAGAACAGUUUCCUACACGACUCGCCGUGUUUGCGUUAUAACCGCGGCGUCUCUUUCACUGCAGGGCCGAACGAUCGUGGCGGCUUCGUUAGGUUUCAGCCACGCCCAUUUUUAUCAAUCACAAAGGGAACUAAAAACACAUUCUGUAAAC